CCUACGGGGGCAGCAGUAGGGAAUCUUCCACAAUGGGCGAAAGCCUGAUGGAGCAACGCCGCGUGGGUGAAGAAGGUCUUCGGAUCGUAAAACCCUGUUGUUAGAGAAGAAAGUGCGUGAGAGUAACUGUUUACGUUUUGACGGUAUCUAACCAGAAAGCCACGGCUAACUACGUUCCAGCAGCCGCGGUAAUACGUAGGUGGCAAGCGUUAUCCGGAUUUUUUGGGCGUAAAGGGAACGCAGGCGGUCUUUUAAGUCUGAUGUGAAAGCCUUCGGCUUAACCGGAGUAGUGCAUUGGAAACUGGGAGACUUGAGUGCAGAAGAGGAGAGUGGAACUCCAUGUGUAGCGGUGAAAUGCGUAGAUAUAUGGAAGAACACCAGUGGCGAAAGCGGCUCUCUGGUCUGUAACUGACGCUGAGGUUCGAAAGCGUGGGUAGCAAACAGGAUUAGAUACCCCAGUAGUC
rnacentral:rRNA from 1 species